rnacentral:rRNA from 1 species
CAGCCGCCGCGGGAAUUCGUAGGGUGCAAGCGUUAAUCGGAAUUACUGGGCGUAAAGCGUGCGCAGGCGGUUCUAUAAGACAGAUGUGAAACCCCCGGGCUCAACCUGGGAACUGCAUUUGUGACUGUAGAGCUGGAGUGCGGCAGAGGGGGAUGGAAUUCCGCGUGUAGCAGUGAAAUGCGUAGAUAUGCGGAGGAACACCGAUGGCGAAGGCAACCCCCUGGGCCUGCACUGACGCUCAUGCACGAAAGCGUGGGGAGCAAACAGGAUUAGAUACCCCCGUAGUCCCUGUCUCUUAUAC